rnacentral:rRNA from 1 species
UUUGAUCAUGGUUCAGGAUGAACGCUAGCUACAGGCUUAACACAUGCAAGUCGCGGGGCAGCAUGAAGGAUGCUUGCAUUCUUUGAUGGCGACCGGCGCACGGGUGAGUAACGCGUAUCCAACCUGCCCCUUUCCCCGGCACAGCCCGUAAAAAUGCGGAUUAAUGCCGGAUGCGGUCGUGUGACGGCAUCAGAGCACGACGAAAGGAGCGAUCCGGGAAGGGAUGGGGAUGCGUCCGAUUAGCUGGACGGCGGGGUAACGGCCCACCGUGGCGACGAUCGGUAGGGGCCCUGAGAGGGGAAUCCCCCACAUUGGGACUGAGACACGGCCCAAACCCCUACGGGAGGCAGCAGUGAGGAAUAUUGGUCAAUGGGCGUAAGCCUGAACCAGCCAAGUAGCGUGAGGGACGACGGCCCUAUGGGUUGUAAACCUCUUUUGUACGGGGAUAAAGUGUGGGACGUGUCCCAUAUUGCAGGUACCGUACGAAUAAGGACCGGCUAAUUCCGUGCCAGCAGCCGCGGUAAUACGGAAGGUCCGGGCGUUAUCCGGAUUCAUUGGGUUUAAAGGGAGCGCAGGCCGCCUUUUAAGCGUGCCGUGAAAUGCCGUGGCUCAACCAUGGCACUGCGGCGCGAACUGGAGGGCUUGAGUGCGCGGAAGGCAGGCGGAACUCGUGGUGUAGCGGUGAAAUGCUUAGAUAUCACGAAGAACUCCGAUUGCGAAGACAGCCUGCCGCAGCGCAACUGACGCUGAGGCUCGAAAGCGCGGGUAUCGAACAGGAUUAGAUACCCUGGUAGUCCGCACGGUAAACGAUGGACACUCGCUGUCGGCGAUAUACGGCCGGCGGCUUAGCGAAAGCGUUAAGUGUCCCACCUGGGGAGUACGCCGGCAACGGUGAAACUCAAAGGAAUUGACGGGGGCCCGCACAAGCGGAGGAACAUGUGGUUUAAUUCGAUGAUACGCGAGGAACCUUACCCGGGCUUGAACUGCGCCUGAAUGUGCCGGAAACGGUACAGCCGCAAGGCAGGCGCGGAGGUGCUGCAUGGUUGUCGUCAGCUCGUGCCGUGAGGUGUCGGCUUAAGUGCCAUAACGAGCGCAACCCCUUCCGGCAGUUGCCAUCAGGUGAUGCUGGGUACUCUGCCGGUACUGCCAUCGUAAGAUGCGAGGAAGGUGGGGAUGACGUCAAAUCAGCACGGCCCUUACGUCCGGGGCUACACACGUGUUACAAUGGGGGGUACAGAGGGCAGCCAGCCGGCGACGGCGCGCGAAUCCCGAAAUCCCCUCCCAGUUCGGACUGGAGCCUGCAACCCGGCUCCACGAAGCUGGAUUCGCUAGUAAUCGCGCAUCAGCCACGGCGCGGUGAAUACGUUCCCGGGCCUUGUACACACCGCCCGUCAAGCCAUGAAAGCCGGGAGUACCUGAAGUGCGUAACCGCGAGGGGCGCCCUAGGGUAACACCGGUAAUUGGGGCUAAGUCGUAACAAGGUAGC